UACGGGGGGGGCAAGCGUUGUUCGGAAUUACUGGGCGUAAAGGGCCAGUAGGCGGCCAACUAAGUCGGAUGUGAAAUCCCCAGGCUUAACCUGGGAACUGCAUCCGAUACUGGAUGGCUUGAAUUCGGGAGAGGGAUGCAGAAUUGCAGGUGUAGCGGUGAAAUGCGUAGAUAUCUGGAGGAAUACCGGUGGCGAAGGCGGCAUCCUGGACCGACAUUGACGCUGAACGGCGAAAGCUAGGGGAGCAAACGGG
rnacentral:rRNA from 1 species